rnacentral:tRNA from 1 species
AAAGGUUUAAGUUAAAUAAACUAUUAACCUUCAAAGUUAAAAAUAAAAUAAAUUAACCUUUA